UACGAAGGGGGCUAGCGUUGUUCGGAUUUACUGGGCGUAAAGGGCGCGUGAGGCCGCCUCCUUGUCGCGUGUGAAAGCCCCGGGCUCAACCUGGGAAUUGCGCUCGAGACUGGUCUGCUUGAGUUCGGGAGAGGAGCGUGGAAUUCCCAGUGUAGAGGUGAAAUUCGUAGAUAUUGGGAAGAACACCGGUGGCGAAGGCGGCGCUCUGGACCGAGACUGACGCUGAGGCGCGAAAGCGUGGGGAGCAAACAGGG
rnacentral:rRNA from 1 species